GAGGUCCUCACCAGAGGCUGAGCCCCUGGGACCACUUGAUCUUGGACUUUCAGCCUCUAAAACCGUGAGCUCAAGAAACUUCUUAUCUUUAGAUGUUGUUCAGACUCAUGUAUUUCAUUAUAGCAAUAGAAUAUAGAUCAGUACAAUGAUUUUCUACCAGUCCUUAUAAUAACUAUAGUAAUAAAAAUUAUUAUUGCAAUAGUGACAACGACAAUAAUUGUAACUGCUCUCCUCAUUGAGCCCUGCAGGCAUUACAAGUCUUAUAAACUUUAACUCAAUUUUAACAAGGUCCCAUGUGGCAUUUUCACUGAAAUAAAGGGUUUCUCUGCUCAAAGAGUUUAACAACUACUGAUCUGGUCCAACUCCGUCAUGAAAGCUACAGAGAGAGGCAUCCUCAGGGGACUCACCAAGCAAGGGACAGAGCUGGGCACCCUACCAGGGACCCUAACAUGUGUGGAUGCUUCCUGCAUGCCAGGCAUUGUGCUCAGGAUCUCUCACUUAGGCUCCACAACAGCCCUGUGAAUAAGUGCUACUGGUUUCCCCAUCUUCCAGAUGAGGAAAUGGAGGUCCUUCCUCAUCUUCGCCUGAAGGAUUCCCUGGGAGGAGCUGAGAAUGGAAAUAAAGCUUUGCCAGGAAGUCAGAGCCAGGUCAAUGUUGUCUUCAGUAUAUCAAGUCAGAUGUUGAGACAGGAAGAAUG
rnacentral:lncRNA from 1 species